rnacentral:rRNA from 1 species
GACGAACGCUGGCGGCGUGCUUAACACAUGCAAGUCGAACGAUGAACCCGGAGCUUGCUCCGGUGGAUUAGUGGCGAACGGGUGAGUAACACGUGAGUAACCUGCCCUUGACUCUGGGAUAACUGCGGGAAACUGUAGCUAAUACCGGAUACGACCCUCGGCGGCAUCGCCAGGGGGUGGAAAGAAUUUCGGUCAAGGAUGGACUCGCGGCCUGUCAGCUAGUUGGUGAGGUAACGGCUCACCAAGGCGACGACGGGUAGCCGGCCUGAGAGGGUGACCGGCCACACUGGGACUGAGACACGGCCCAGACUCCUACGGGAGGCAGCAGUGGGGAAUAUUGCACAAUGGGCGCAAGCCUGAUGCAGCAACGCCGCGUGAGGGAUGACGGCCCUCGGGUUGUAAACCUCUUUUAGUAGGGAAGAAGCGAAAGUGACGGUACCCGCAGAAAAAGCACCGGCUAACUACGUGCCAGCAGCCGCGGUAA